rnacentral:rRNA from 1 species
UACAUACUGUGCGAACGUUAUUCGGAAUCACUGGGCUUAAAGGGUGCGUAGGCGGCGAUUCAAGUCAGAUGUGAAAUGCCUGAGCUCAACUGAGGCAUUGCGUUUGAAACUGGAUUGCUGGAGUGUCCCAGGGGUGUGCGGAACUGCCAGUGGAGCGGUGAAAUGUGUUGAUAUUGGCAGGAACACCGGAGGCGAAAGCGGCACACUGGGGGAUAACUGACGCUGAGGCACGAAAGCCAGGGUAGCGAACGGG